AACGAACGCUGGCGGCAUGCCUAACACAUGCAAGUCGAACGAGACCUUCGGGUCUAGUGGCGCACGGGUGCGUAACGCGUGGGAACCUGCCAUUAGGUUCGGAAUAACUCCCCGAAAGGGGUGCUAAUACCGGAUAAUGUCUUCGGACCAAAGAUUUAUCGCCUUUGGAUGGGCCCGCGUUGGAUUAGCUAGUUGGUAGGGUAAAAGACUACCAAGGCGACGAUCCAUAGCUGGUCAGAGAGGAUGAUCAGCGACACUCGGAAUGAGACACGGCCCAGAAUCAUACGGGAGGCAGCAGAAGCGAAUAUUGAACUAAGGGCGAGAGCCUGAUCCAGCAACGGCGCCUGAAUGAUGAAGCCCUUAGGCUGGUAAAGCUCUUUUACCCAGGAGGAUAAUGACAGUACCGGGAGCAUAAGCUCCGGCUAACUCCGUG
rnacentral:rRNA from 1 species